CCUACGGGGUGCAGCAGUGAGGAAUAUUGGUCAAUGGGCGGGAGCCUGAACCAGCCAAGUCGCGUGAGGGAAGACGGUCCUAUGGAUUGUAAACCUCUUUAGGCGGGGAGCAAUGCCGGGCACGCGUGCCCGGAGGGAGAGUACCCGCAGAAUAAGCAUCGGCUAACUCCGUGCCAGCAGCCGCGGUGAUACGGAGGAUGCGAGCGUUAUCCGGAUUUAUUGGGUUUAAGGGGUGCGUAGGCGGAUUUUUAAGUCAGCGGUAAAAUGUCCGGGCUCAACCCGGGCCGGCCGUUGAAACUGGGGAGCUUGAGUGGGCGAGAAGUAUGCGGAAUGCGUGGUGUAGCGGUGAAAUGCAUAGAUAUCACGCAGAACUCCGAUUGCGAAGGCAGCAUACCGGCGCCCGACUGACGCUGAGGCACGAAAGCGUGGGGAUCGAACAGGAUUAGAUACCCCUGUAGUC
rnacentral:rRNA from 1 species